rnacentral:misc_RNA from 1 species
GAUGAAGAACGCAGCGAAAUGCGAUAAGUAAUGUGAAUUGCAGAAUUCAGUGAAUCAUCGAAUCUUUGAACGCACAUUGCGCCCGCCAGUAUUCUGGCGGGCAUGCCUGUUCGAGCGUCAUUUCAACCAUCAAGCCCUGCUUGUGUUGGGGACCUGCGGCUGCCGCAGGCCCUGAAAACCAGUGGCGGGCUCGCUAGUCACUCCGAGCGUAGUAAUACAUCUCGCUCAGGGCGUGCUGCGGGUUCCGGCCGUUAAAAAGCCUUAUUUACCCAAGGUUGACCUCGGAUCAGGUAGGAAGACCCGCUGAACUUAAGCAUAUCAAUAAGCGGAGGA